GCAGUGAGCCGAGAUCACGCCACUGCACCCCAGCCUGGUGAUGGAACGAGACUCUGUCUAAAAAAAAAAAAAAAAAGAUAGGACAUGUUAAUGUAAAAGCUGUCAGAACACUCAAGACACACAAUAAAAGAUAGUCCUAUCCAGGAUAAGAUAAGCAGGCAAUCUUUUGCCCACAUCCUAUUAUGCUGUUCUUAUUAUAUUUGCCAGUGGCCCAAGAAAUCUUACAGGUGGACCAUAGGGCACAUGUCCAAGGACCAGUGUGGGGGAGUUAAUGCUACAGCUCUGGACCAGGAAUCUGAAAAGAAUAUUUUCUUCUCCAACUCAUCACUGGCACAAAUCAGCAACCCUGUACAAAGCUCUUUCUCAACCUCCAAUUUGAGAACUAUACUUCCUAACUAUUCAAAAUGCUCUCACAUCAGUCAGGAUAUUUUUUCCCCUAACAUAUCCCUGGGAAGGGAUGAAGUCAACCAUUACCAAACAUUUAUGAAUACAGAAACAGAAAGAGAUCCUGUGUCCCUCUAGAGGCACUGGACUGCAAUCAUCUGGCAACACUACCAUUUUUGGACUCUCUGGAAAUGGCAGAGAUUUUCUGAAGGAAGGACCCUAAAGGCAGCUGUCCUUUAUUGAGCAUCUGUGAUGUCCCUAGCGCUGCUUGUCUCAUUCAAGCCUCAGCACUACCAAAUGAAGAAGAUGUUAUGUGUGCUUUCAUAGGUCACUACAAUCCAGUGCCAACACAGCAUUGGGUGGAUCCCAUGAGAUUUCAAAUUCCACAAAGAAAAAAUCUACUUGGUCCUCAACAUUACUUCCAAGAUUGCUGGAGUUCACUGUACCAAUAAAAACUCAUGGACAAGAAAACAGAAACUAGAAGUGAAGGACUUCAAUAUCCAAGAAGAUGGUGUAGCCUCAAGAUAGAAAAAGCCCACACUUCUGAAACAUCAUUUGAAAGGCUGCUGAAGACCUACAUCACAUGGUGAUAUGAAAUAAAAAUAAACUUCUAUUAAGUUAAGCCUAUGAGCUUUCAGGCUUUAUCUACAGAGAUCUCAGCUCUCUCUGCUUUAAGAACUGCAAUGGCUACAAGGCAAAUUAAUACCUUAUUAGUCCUGUAUUGUUUGUUGCUUUUGAAUCACCAAAGUGAUUUUAACGUGUGAUUGCUUGCCAAAUUUUCUAAACAGACAGUAGGAUGAAUUGGUUGCUGGAGGCUCCAACUGCCCCUAACCAUCUGAGCGAUGCACCCAUUAUGCACUAAUCCUAAACAACUAAUGAAUUUCCCCAGGAGCAUUUGAUGUCCUCUCAUAUAGGUAUGACUGAGUAUAAGAUUUAACUUACUGUGAUAGUUUUCACAUGACAGUGUUAUUAAAUCAUGAAGUGCAAUGGUACUUAAAUUUUUCUGCGUCACAGAUCUCUGUAAAAAUCAAACAGGAGGAGUGGAUUCUUUCUGGAAAUGGACACAAAAGCACAUGCAAGCAAAAUGGUGUGCACCAUGUCAGCUGGUUCACAGAGCCUGGAUCAGCACCCCAGAAGUUUACCUUUGAGCCAGACUUUGGGCUGAUAACCACUUAUUGAGAGGAAAGAGCACUGUACUAGAAGCCAAAAGUCAGGAGCCUGCAGUCCCAGCCUGAGACUUUGGGUAUGCUGCUUCCCCUCUCUGAUCAGCAGAAUCAGGAGCUUUAUGAAUUGGUUUCUAAUGCUCUUCCAGCUCUGAAAUUAUCCAGAUUUUUAAUAAACAGCUGACACUGAAAUGAGGACCUCUAGCUGGUAUUUCUAGUCCCACCUAUUCUCACUUUUAAAAACAACAGAAAAAAAUAAGGGAAGAAAAUUGGUGGCAUCACAAAAUUUAACAUCUCACUGUGACAUCAAACCCCACAUUAUAUAUUUUCCUGUAAUUUCAUGACAAGGUUGGCUUUAGCUAGUGCAAAAUUGCUAGCUCCUUCAGCUGAUCAACAUAAAAGUACAUGAAGAGCCUAGAAUUUUGAGCAUGAAAUCUCAAGUGGUUCAUCAGAAUGAUACUUCUUGGCGUUAAUGAGAGUCUAGAGUCAGUGGGUUAAUCUGGAUGGACACUAGCUUCCAAGAUGAACCUGUCAGAAUAAUGUUCACACACCACAUACUUUCUUCAACAGACCAAAUAAUAAUAACAACAAGUAAAAACUUAACUUUCAUUCCAAAGGUAAUUAUUACAUUUAUCUGGCCUUUUCCCAUUAUUGUUCUGUAAAUCUAUUACUGUAUAACAAACCACCCCAAACUUAAUGGCAUCAGACCACCACCAUUGUAUUAUGUUCAUGAAUUCUAGGUCAGUUUCUUGCACAAGAGCAAGAAAACUACAUGGCCUUUUAUUACCUAACCUUGAAAGUCCUAUAGCACCACUUCUGUCAUGCUCUUUUGAAGCAGUCACAAGCCUGCUUCCUAAAGGAAGGAGUGCCAAAGAAUUUGAAGCCAUGUUUUAAAAUUGCCACUAUUAUGGACCAACACCAAUUGGAGGAAUCAAUAGGAAAGGAACACUAAAAUCUCAAACAUCAACUCAUGUCAGUCUUAAAACAUGGGAGGUUCAGAUAUUCAAAUAAUAAUUUGAUACAGGGGAUACAAGAAAUACAGCAGUGAACCAAACAGACCAAUAUCCCAGCCUUCAUAGUUGUUUGUUUUUUUUUAAAUUCCAGAUUCCAGUGGAGGAAAAGGCACGAUAAUUUUAAAAGGAGACUAAACCACAUCGUUAUAAAUGUUAUAAAGGAAAAUAAAUCAGAGAAGUAGAAUGGGAAAUACUAGGGAGGCAUGGAUCAAUUACAACUUCCAAUAGGAUAGUCAGAGAAAGCUUCAUGAAAAGGUGACGCUUAAGCAAAGAUCUAAAGCAGGGGUGUCCAAUCUUUUGGCUUUCCUAAGCCACACUGAAAGAAGAAGAAUUGUCUUGGGCCACACAUAAAAUACACUAACACUAAUGAAAGUUGAUGAGCUAAAAAAAAAAAAAAAGUCACAAAAAAACUCAUAAUGUUUUAAGAAAAUUUAUGAAUUUGUGUUGGGCUGCAUUCAAAGCCGUCGUGGUGGCAUGCAGCCCAUAGACCACUGACUGGACAAGCUUCAUCUAACGGAAACGAGGGAACAAGCUGUGUAGAUAUUCCAGGCAGAGAGAACAGUGAAGGCUAAGUGUGUGGCUGAAGUUGCAUGAGGGAUGGGGUAAGUAGAAAGCCAAAGAAGUGCAGGGGUGGGUGGGAAUGAGAGGAUGAGCUCCACAUUUGGAGUUUGUCGUGAGGACAUUGAUUUUACUCUGAGAAAAAUGGGAAGACAUUGGAAGGUCUGAGCAAAGGCAAACCAUGACAUGAGGCACUUUCUUAAAGGAUUACUCCCAAUGUUGUAUUGCAGCAUGGUUUCGGGGUGGUGGUGAUAAGGACAGACCCAUCAGAGCUAGUUAGAGGUAACUGGAAUAACUCUUGCAAGGCAUGAUAGAACCUUGGACCAUGGUAGCAGAGUGGAGGCAAGGAGAAAAAGUUGAGUUUAGAUAUGUUUUGAACAUGAGGUGGACUUGGCUUCCUGAUAGAUUGCCUGAGGACUAAAGAGAGAAGCAAAAGAUGGCUCCAAGCCUCUUAGCCUGAACAACAGGAAAAAUGGAAGUGGACCACCAAGACAGGGAAGAUUGGGAAGGAAAGGUGGGAGUUAUGGGAACUAAGAGUUUUGGUUUUGUAUGUGUUAAGUUUGUAAUGAUAUUAGACAUUUAAGUGAAGGUGCUGAGUAGGUGAUUAAAUAGAUGAGUCUAGAUUUGAGGGGAGAAGUAAGAACUACAAUGACAACUUUGGGAUCAGUGAAUAGACAGUAUUUAAAACCUAGAUGAAUCAACCAGGGACUGAGCAUAGAAAGAAGAGAGAUCAGAGUAUUGAGGACAGGGGUACUCCAAGAGUGAGGGGUCAGGAAGUCAGGAGCAAGCAGCAAAGGAGCCUGAGAAGGACAGCUAGUGAAGUAGGAAGAGAAUGAAGAGCAUGGCCUCCUGGAGAUCAAGUGAAGCAGCUGUGUCCAUAAUGAGAGCGUGGCCAUCACAUCAAUUGCUACUGAGAGAUCAAUAGGAUGAAGCUAGAGAAUUGACCACUGGACUUAGUCAAGGUCAUUAGUGACCUCAUCUAGAGCAGUUUGGGGGAUGGCAGGAGUGAAAGUCUAACUAGCAUGUGCUGUGGAAGAACAGGAGGAGAGAAAACCCUCAGGUUACUAUAUUUGCACAGUGGGCUAUUUAACCAAUCAUUCAUCUUGUCAAAACUCUGCUUUAGAUUUGUACACCCAAGUUCAUAGCUGCAUUAUCCCAAUAACAAAAAGGUAGAAGCAACCCAAAUGUCCAUAGAUGAAUGAAUGAUAAACAAAAUGCCAUGUAAACAUACAAUGGAAUAUUAUUCAGCCAUAAAAGGACGGAAAUUUUAAUGCCUGCUACAACAUGGAUAGACCUCAAGGACAUUAUGUUAAGUGAAAUAAGCCAGACAAAUACUGCAUGAUCUCACUUAUGAUAGGUAUCUAGAGUAGACAAACUUAUCGAAAUAGAAAGUGAAAUGGUGCUUGCCAGGGGUGGUGAUAGGCAGAAAUGAGGAGUUGUAUAAUGGGUACAGAGUUUCAGUUUUGCAAGAUGAAAAAGUCCUAGAGAUUGGUUGUACAACAAUGUAAAUAUGCUUAACACUAUUGAACUGUACAUUUAAAAGUGGUUAAGACAGUAAAUUUUAUAUCAUGUGUAUUUUACCACAAUUAAAAGUUUUUCUAAAACAGAAACAGAAAUUGUUGAAGACCCACAACCGUUCCCAUCUCUAUCCUUUCGGAGAGUAACCAUCAUCUUGAAGUUGGUGUCUAUCUUUUUCAUGCAUGUUUUUGUGCUUUCAUUAUGUAUGUAUGUCCUCAUAAAUAACAUAAAGCUAACAAUACAGUACGCUAUUUUUUAACUUACAGAAAUACCAGCUGUCUAUUGCACAAAGCUUUUUUGCAUUUUGGGUUUUACCCAACAAUAUUUAUGUUUUCAAACUUUAUCAAUGAUAUUAAGUAAUUCUAUAAGUAAGUGUUUCCUACUCUUUUUUCCAUUACAAACAGUGUUUCAAUAAACCUCUCAGUACAUGGAGGCGUGGAGAAUCAAAUGUGUUUUAGGUAUCUUAAAUGCGCAAUAAUUCUCUUCUUUCUAAAACAUACUGUUAUUUCUGUUUGGAAUAAUACUCCACCCUUUUAUUCCCUUUUGUCUACAGAGGUUAUCAAACUACAGCCCACAGACCAAAUCCAGCCCACCAUCUCUUCUGAUGGCAGCUGCCACAUCAUGAGGAUAUCAAGACAUCCUAUGGUGAGGCCUGUGUGACAGGAAACUGAGGCCUCCUGCCAAAAGCCCUGCGAAUGAGCCAUCAAAAAAGUGGAUCAUCCAGUCCCAUUCAAGCCUUCAGAUGACUGCAGCCCUGUCCAACAGCCUGAUUGCAACCUCAUAAGGGGCACUGGGCCAGAACUACCCAGCUAAGCAACUCCCAAAUUCCUGACCUACAGAGUCUGUGAGAUAAUAAAGGUUUGUUGUUUUAAGCCAUU
rnacentral:lncRNA from 1 species